rnacentral:tRNA from 3 species
GCGGGUGUAGCUCAGUUGGUAGAGCGACAGCCUUCCAAGCUGUAGGUCGCGGGUUCGAGCCUCGUCACCCGCUCGA